rnacentral:lncRNA from 1 species
AGGCAUGGCAAUUGUUUGAGAACCUUAAUGAAAAUUCCCUCCACCAUGCCUCCUCUGCUCGUCAAGCACCCCCGAGUUCUGAAAGAAAAGGAACCAUAUAUGAAGUUAGGCAGUCUAUAGGUCUAUCGGACAAAGUAGAUGCACUAUCCCGCAAGUUGGACCAGCUAAUGUCUAGAGAACAGCUUCCAAACUUUUCCCAAGCACA